GUGGGCCUUCUUCUCCUUGGCCAGGGGACCUCGCGCGUGGAAAGAGCUCCCAGACCGCGCUUCUGGAACUUCUCCACGCGGGAAUAAGCAGAAACUUUCCUCCUAAGGGAAGGUUUCAUUUAUUUAUUUAUUUUAGACCUUGAACUACAGGAGAAGGGGGAAAUUUUCUCAUUAAAGUUACAUCCCUGCAGUUAGUUCAAUUACUUGAUAUAUGCAGAAGAUGUUGUAAAUUUAUAGAUUUAAAUAGCUUACAAAGAUGCCGCAGGCCCCAUCAGUUAAUUUCCUUAAUUUAUGGAUUUUUGGCUGCUCCUAGAACAGAAAGGGGCCCUGGAAGUAGGUCAAGGAGCUGUACAGCGGUUCUAGCACAGCCCAUGGGCUGCCCACUCUGCUCCCCACGCCCUGGCACCCCCCGGGCUUCUGGCUCCCAGCUCAGGCCUGACAGCACUACUCUCUGCUCUCUAUAUUUUGGCCAAGCCAGGCCUGGGAGGUCUGCUUUCGUCCGUGGUGACUCCGUCUCCCCAGGGCUGCACUGCCAUGCCAAGGAAGAGCAAAGCCUCCAUCUCCACCCGCCCCUCCCAGCACUGAGGGAAUGGAGCCAGAAGCAAGGGUCCCAACUACUCUGACCUCCUGUGUCCCCCCUAAAAUGGUAGCUGGGAUCCCAAGUGGAGAAGGCCAUGUCUGGAUGCCUCAGGCUUCUUCGGGAUGAAGUUUCUAAGAUUUGCAAGGUACAUGUCAAGGACGGGUGUAUAAAUGGAUUUUUAUUUAUUCACAACUCCAAGACUAAUUGCUUCUCUUUGCCUCAAGGCCACGAGAUGGGUUUUAAUAUGACACUUCAAAAGUAUUCAUGGAACUACAGAGAUACGAAGUGUCAUUGUUUAAGAGACAAAUCUCGCUGUGGUACUGGUGACCCUGCAAAUAGGAUGUUCCAUUUCAUUUUCAAAUCCUCGAUGUUUUUCUAAGAGUUUCACUCUAUACCAACUGUAUUAAAAAUGCACAAUUUCAUUGAAACAAGACCUGACCAUUCUCAAAGACCUUUUAUUUCCUGAAUAUUGCUGGAAACUUUGUUUUCCUAUUCCUGAAACCUUUUAUUAAAGAGCUGAACUUUAUACAUGUCAUUAAGAAGAGUAAGUUUGGGCCAUAAUUUAUCCUCAAGUGUUUUAAAAGUUCCCGGCUAAAUGUCAACCAUCUUUUACACUGAGGGACUCGGAUAUGAGCUGUGAUAGGCAUGUAAUGAUCGGUGGUAUAUAUUGCAGUGCUGAGGCUUUUUGUUUUUUAAUUGAAAGUGGAUAAUUAGGACUGAAGACAUACUGAAACAUCCUGUGAAAAUACAUCUUGUUUCAUUACUAUAGUCCAAGAGACGAAAUUGGAUGUGGGUCUAAUCAGAAUGGCACUUGCUUUAUCAGUAGAUGUGAAUGGCACUGGAGCUAUUCCAGUCCGCCUAUCUUAUUUUUUAAGUUUUAUUGAGGUUUCAUUGACUUACAAGGUUGUGAUCAUUGCUGCUGUACGACAGAGUGAUUCAGUCAGAGCUGGACACAUCCGUUCUCUUUCGUUCCGCACAUGUUAAAAAGCAGGUUCAAACCUGAGGUGGCUUGAGGGGUGCUCUGUGUGAACGCACCUGAAGCGAGUGACGGGUCAGGCCCUGCAUCCAGGUGCUGCGGGCAAGCGCUCAGUCUCUGGAUGUUUCAAAGGGAUUUCCAGUGCGACUUGGUACCUUGUUGUUGUGGCUGUUUGCAGACGGUAUUUCAAGAUGAAGACCUUAAUGAGAAAAGUAAAAUGAGCUCAAAAGGAGGGCCCAGAAUCUGCUGAACUCAACCUUCUCAGAAAGUCUGUGACCAGAGAGCAGGUGAGGAGUUCUCGCUGUGGCUCAGUGGAUGAAGAACCCGACUUGUCUUCGUGAGGACGUGGGUUGGAUCCUCAGCCUUGCUCAGUGGGUUAAGGAUCUGAUAUUGCCACAAGCUG
rnacentral:lncRNA from 1 species